rnacentral:rRNA from 1 species
UACAGAGGUCCCAAGCGUUGUUCGGAUUCACUGGGCGUAAAGGGUGCGUAGGCGGUCGGGUAAGUCUGAUGUGAAAUCUCCAAGCUCAACUUGGAAAUGGCAUCGGAUACUAUUCGGCUCGAGGAAUGGAGGGGAGACUGGAAUACUUGGUGUAGCAGUGAAAUGCGCAGAUAUCAGGAGGAACACCGGUGGCGAAGGCGGGUCUCUGGGCAGUAACUGACGCUGAGGAGCGAAAGCGUGGGGAGCGAACAGG